ACAGUUCGUAGUUAUGACAAAAAUGGCCUUGGAGUCCCUGAAAAGUAACCUAGGCAACCAUUGUCAUCCUGAACCACAUGUCACAGGUGCUAUCACCAGCAGAGCCAUUGGGGGACUCAAUACACAGUUCAGCUAUGUGACCUCCAGAAUUCGAGACCCAGCUUAAGUGCCACCUCCCCCAGGGAGCUGCUUCUUCCUGCUCUCCAGUGACCUGCACAGUUCCAGCAGAAUCCAGGCCUGGCUUGUGACCUAGGAAGGGAAGUGGCCAGCUGAAAACACUGCCCUGGAGAAACCAAAGCCACCACUGCCACGAAGGCAGCCCUCUUUCCUCCCAUGGCCUGGCCUGGCCCCAGCUGUUCGUGGGCGUAAGCAGGCACAGACACCCAGGAAUGGGUUAAGAACCCUCUGGAAAUGCUCCAUACACAUCAGAAGACAGGGCACCCACAUGCUUGUGUGAGGAUGACUGACACACUCAGGCAAGACCGGCUCAGAGCUGGGUGACAAAGGAGAAGGUGAGGCGGGCUGGGGGCGGGGCCUCCCUUGUGCAAGAGAACGGCAGGGGCCUUGCCUAAGCCAGAACAAGGGUCCUCUAAAGCAGCUCGGAAUCUCUCCGGGGCCUGGGCCUCUGACAGCUGUGAAGCCUCUUGGGCUCUUCUCAGAGUAACGUUUUCCAGUGCAGUAUAUUCCAAACCCCAGGUUAUCGUGAAAUGGUUUUUAAUUACUUUUAAAACUGCAGCAAACACAAGUUCCUUCUUAAUACUAUAAGAACUAAUGUGGUUCUCCCGCCUGCCUCGCAAGUGCAAGGACCUGAGUUAGAUCCCUGGUACCAAAAAAAGAACUAAUGUGAC